rnacentral:rRNA from 1 species
GGGUUGUGAGGUUAAGCGACUAAGCGUACACGGUGGAUGCCCUGGCAGUCAGAGGCGAUGAAGGACGUGCUAAUCUGCGAUAAGCGUCGGUAAGGUGAUAUGAACCGUUAUAACCGGCGAUUUCCGAAUGGGGAAACCCAGUGUGUUUCGACACACUAUCAUUAACUGAAUCCAUAGGUUAAUGAGGCGAACCGGGGGAACUGAAACAUCUAAGUACCCCGAGGAAAAGAAAUCAACCGAGAUUCCCCCAGUAGCGGCGAGCGAACGGGGAGCAGCCCAGAGCCUGAAUCAGUGUGUGUGUUAGUGGAAGCGUCUGGAAAGGCGCGCGAUACAGGGUGACAGCCCCGUACACAAAAAUGCACAUGCUGUGAGCUCGAUGAGUAGGGCGGGACACGUGGUAUCCUGUCUGAAUAUGGGGGGACCAUCCUCCAAGGCUAAAUACUCCUGACUGACCGAUAGUGAACCAGUACCGUGAGGGAAAGGCGAAAAGAACCCCGGCGAGGGGAGUGAAAAAGAACCUGAAACCGUGUACGUACAAGCAGUGGGAGCACGCUUAGGCGUGUGACUGCGUACCUUUUGUAUAAUGGGUCAGCGACUUAUAUUCUGUAGCAAGGUUAACCGAAUAGGGGAGCCGAAGGGAAACCGAGUCUUAACUGGGCGUUAAGUUGCAGGGUAUAGACCCGAAACCCGGUGAUCUAGCCAUGGGCAGGUUGAAGGUUGGGUAACACUAACUGGAGGACCGAACCGACUAAUGUUGAAAAAUUAGCGGAUGACUUGUGGCUGGGGGUGAAAGGCCAAUCAAACCGGGAGAUAGCUGGUUCUCCCCGAAAGCUAUUUAGGUAGCGCCUCGUGAAUUCAUCUCCGGGGGUAGAGCACUGUUUCGGCAAGGGGGUCAUCCCGACUUACCAACCCGAUGCAAACUGCGAAUACCGGAGAAUGUUAUCACGGGAGACACACGGCGGGUGCUAACGUCCGUCGUGAAGAGGGAAACAACCCAGACCGCCAGCUAAGGUCCCAAAGUCAUGGUUAAGUGGGAAACGAUGUGGGAAGGCCCAGACAGCCAGGAUGUUGGCUUAGAAGCAGCCAUCAUUUAAAGAAAGCGUAAUAGCUCACUGGUCGAGUCGGCCUGCGCGGAAGAUGUAACGGGGCUAAACUAUGCACCGAAGCUGCGGCAGCGACGCUUAUGCGUUGUUGGGUAGGGGAGCGUUCUGUAAGCCUGUGAAGGUGUGCUGUGAGGCAUGCUGGAGGUAUCAGAAGUGCGAAUGCUGACAUAAGUAACGAUAAAGCGGGUGAAAAGCCCGCUCGCCGGAAGACCAAGGGUUCCUGUCCAACGUUAAUCGGGGCAGGGUGAGUCGACCCCUAAGGCGAGGCCGAAAGGCGUAGUCGAUGGGAAACAGGUUAAUAUUCCUGUACUUGGUGUUACUGCGAAGGGGGGACGGAGAAGGCUAUGUUGGCCGGGCGACGGUUGUCCCGGUUUAAGCGUGUAGGCUGGUUUUCCAGGCAAAUCCGGAAAAUCAAGGCUGAGGCGUGAUGACGAGGCACUACGGUGCUGAAGCAACAAAUGCCCUGCUUCCAGGAAAAGCCUCUAAGCAUCAGGUAACAUCAAAUCGUACCCCAAACCGACACAGGUGGUCAGGUAGAGAAUACCAAGGCGCUUGAGAGAACUCGGGUGAAGGAACUAGGCAAAAUGGUGCCGUAACUUCGGGAGAAGGCACGCUGAUAUGUAGGUGAAGUCCCUCGCGGAUGGAGCUGAAAUCAGUCGAAGAUACCAGCUGGCUGCAACUGUUUAUUAAAAACACAGCACUGUGCAAACACGAAAGUGGACGUAUACGGUGUGACGCCUGCCCGGUGCCGGAAGGUUAAUUGAUGGGGUCAGCGCAAGCGAAGCUCUUGAUCGAAGCCCCGGUAAACGGCGGCCGUAACUAUAACGGUCCUAAGGUAGCGAAAUUCCUUGUCGGGUAAGUUCCGACCUGCACGAAUGGCGUAAUGAUGGCCAGGCUGUCUCCACCCGAGACUCAGUGAAAUUGAACUCGCUGUGAAGAUGCAGUGUACCCGCGGCAAGACGGAAAGACCCCGUGAACCUUUACUAUAGCUUGACACUGAACAUUGAGCCUUGAUGUGUAGGAUAGGUGGGAGGCUUAGAAGUGUGGACGCCAGUCUGCAUGGAGCCGACCUUGAAAUACCACCCUUUAAUGUUUGAUGUUCUAACGUUGACCCGUAAUCCGGGUUGCGGACAGUGUCUGGUGGGUAGUUUGACUGGGGCGGUCUCCUCCUAAAGAGUAACGGAGGAGCACGAAGGUUGGCUAAUCCUGGUCGGACAUCAGGAGGUUAGUGCAAUGGCAUAAGCCAGCUUGACUGCGAGCGUGACGGCGCGAGCAGGUGCGAAAGCAGGUCAUAGUGAUCCGGUGGUUCUGAAUGGAAGGGCCAUCGCUCAACGGAUAAAAGGUACUCCGGGGAUAACAGGCUGAUACCGCCCAAGAGUUCAUAUCGACGGCGGUGUUUGGCACCUCGAUGUCGGCUCAUCACAUCCUGGGGCUGAAGUAGGUCCCAAGGGUAUGGCUGUUCGCCAUUUAAAGUGGUACGCGAGCUGGGUUUAGAACGUCGUGAGACAGUUCGGUCCCUAUCUGCCGUGGGCGCUGGAGAACUGAGGGGGGCUGCUCCUAGUACGAGAGGACCGGAGUGGACGCAUCACUGGUGUUCGGGUUGUCAUGCCAAUGGCACUGCCCGGUAGCUAAAUGCGGAAGAGAUAAGUGCUGAAAGCAUCUAAGCACGAAACUUGCCCCGAGAUGAGUUCUCCCUGACUCCUUGAGAGUCCUGAAGGAACGUUGAAGACGACGACGUUGAUAGGCCGGGUGUGUAAGCGCAGCGAUGCGUUGAGCUAACCGGUACUAAUGAACCGUGAGGCUUAACCUUACAACGCCGAAGCUGUU